rnacentral:tRNA from 1 species
AUAAAGUAAGCUAAACUAAGCUAGUGGGUUCAUACCCCAAAAAUGAAUUUAUUAUUCCUUUAUU